rnacentral:rRNA from 1 species
GACGAACGCUGGCGGCGUGCUUAACACAUGCAAGUCGAACGGAAAGGCCCUGCUUGCCGGGUACUCGAGUGGCGAACGGGUGAGUAACACGUGGGUGAUCUGCCCUGCACUUCGGGAUAAGCCUGGGAAACUGGGUCUAAUACCGGAUAGGAGCCAUUUUUAGUGUGAUGGCUGGAAAGUUUUUUCGGUGUAGGAUGAGCUCGCGGCCUAUCAGCUUGUUGGUGGGGUAAUGGCCUACCAAGGCGGCGACGGGUAGCCGGCCUGAGAGGGUGGACGGCCACAGUGGGACUGAGAGACGGCCCAGACUCCUACGGGAGGCAGCAGUGGGGAAUAUUGCACAAUGGGCGCAAGCCUGAUGCAGCGACGCCGCGUGGGGGAUGACGGCCUUCGGGUUGUAAACUCCUUUCGCUAGGGACGAAGCUUUUUGUGACGGUACCUAGAGAAGAAGCACCGGCUAACUACGUG